GCACCUGUAAUCCCGGCUACUUGGGAGGUUGAGGGAGGAGAAUCGCUUGAACCCAGGAGGUGGAGGUUGCAGUGAGCCGAGACUGCACCAUUGCACUCCAGCCUGGGCAAUAGAGCGAGACUCCGUCUCAAGCAAGCAAGCAAGCAAACAAACAAAAUAAAAAACGAGGUCAAGUUUCAAAAGAUGUCACCCCCAACCUGGCAAAACUUCUCCUCAAGCCCUGUCGUUCCACUCUUGUCCGCCAGGAGGAGAAAAGGUUCCCUCGAAGGACGUCUUUGCUUGCGCGUUCACGGAGCCUUGAGAACGAGUGGCCGAGGGGACCCCUGCGGCCCUGCGCGCCUAAGGGAGGACCUGACUCCUUUCAGAAUUAGCAUUUCUUCCCCUUCGUGGGUGCUCUUGAGUUCCAAAGAAAAGGAAGAGAAGCCUUCAUUGAGCAGCUUCUUCUGCCUUAGGGACUGUGCUAGGGGGUAGAUCGACCUUAGGGGAAACAAUCCCCGCUUAUUAGAGGAGGUUUUGGAUCAGGGUUUGCUUUAUUUGAAAUUUAACAAAUACAGAAAAGCAGAAGGAAGAAAAUUGAAGUAAUCCAUG
rnacentral:lncRNA from 1 species